rnacentral:tRNA from 1 species
GGGCUUCUAGCUCAGUGGUAGAGCAGCUGACUGCAGUGCGCACAGGACUCGCUCAUCUGGGAGCAGGUCAUGGAGUGCGGGCAACCAUCAGCAGGACUCCGGUUCAAUCCCGGAGGAGCCCU